rnacentral:rRNA from 1 species
UGGGGAAUAUUGCACAAUGCGCGCAAGCCUGAUGCAUCCAUGCCGCGUUUGUGAAGCAGUCCUUCGGGUUGUCACGCACUUUCAGCGGGGAGGAAGGCGAUCAGGUUAAUAACCUUGUCGCUUUCCGUUACCCGCAGACGAAGCACCGGCUAACUCCGUUCCAGCAGCCGCGGUAAUACGGAGGGUGCACGCGUUACUCGGAAUUACUGGGCGUAACGCGCACGCAGGCGGUCUGUCAAGUCGGAUGUGAAAUCCCCGGGCUUCACCUGGGAAGUGCAUUCGAAACUGGCAGGCUAGAGUCUUGUAGAGGGGGGUAGAAUUCCAGGUGUAGCGGGGAAAGGCGUAGAGAGCUGGAGGAAUACCGGUGGCGAAGGCGGCCCCCUGGACGAAGACGGACGCUCAGGUGCGAAAGCGUGGGGAGCAAACAGG